GCGGCCGGGCGCAGGGCGGCGGCGCUGCGGGACGACGGCUUCGCGAGGCUUCGGCCCGCACGGGCGGCAGCGGUCCCCAGGGAGGAAAGACAAAGACACGCCGGUUAGCAACGGGCAAGGAGAGCGCGGCGCCUCUCGGCUCCCCAAAGCGCCGCGGUCCCCAGCGGCCGCGAGCCGCCCCUUCCGCCCCACAGGCUGUCGGCCGGGCUGGAACUGCGGGUCCGAGGAGACGGCGGCCAACCGAAGCCUCCCACGACAACGUCUCAGCGCUUUGGGGAAACACGGCAAAACCGGCAACAUUUUUUAAAUGCUUUGACCCAGAAAUCCUCAUUUGAGAAUUCUCCCCUGAGGCGAAUACAUGCAAGGUUUUUCACGCAAGGUGCUAAGGUCAGUAUCCCACCCCGAGGUCUUCUAAAACUUUCUGGAAAAUACAUCUUAUCAAAAAAAAAUACUUUGCACGGAUUUUCAAGUUUUUGCACCAAAACAAUUUCAUGUCUCCACGAACUUUUUGAAGUACCUUCGUAUAACAGCAAUUAACAGAAGUUUUUUAAAAAAAACACGGGACAAAAAGAAAAUGAAAGAAAAAGAAAUGGAGUGUUUCCUACCUGACAAAAUAACGUAUUGGCUAGGCUUUCGUGUUUUUCUUACAGUGGAUCCUAACAGGGUACUGAAACAAGGCUGUGCAAUAAUACCUAGUGAUGCGAGAAAGCAUUUAUGUCGUGCGUGCAUGUGCGUGUGCACGGGUAGUGAGGGCGGCCGUGUGGACACACACCACGCGGGUGACACACACCACGGGGAGCAGCACACCCGUGUGCCCAGUGCUCACCCCCGGGUGAUCUGGCUGCAAGUCCUCUUUACUUUCCUCUUAGUUAUAGUUCCCAAACUUUAUACACAUUUUUAUAAUAAAAAUGUUAACUUACGCCACUCUUUGUUCCCAUUCUAUCUUUACCCCAAUUCAAAUUCAGGACAGUAGUGUGGGCUGUGAAGCACAGCUGUGGACAUCCAAGGAUUUUAAAGAACAGAGCCCACAACAACGACUUAUCUUCCAUACAGAGUUGCUGUGGAUACUAAACUCCUCAAGUUGAUGGCAUGGGUCAUGUUGGAGUAUCAGAAUCCCACAGGCCUGACGGCUUCCUCCUGGUGUUCUUGCCUAGAUGAGCUACACCGUCACAGUUCCUGACUUUGUCAGAGGCAUCAGGGCUAAAGCAAGAACUACUCCUGGACAGAUCAAAGCAACGAGACUCAAUAAAUAAAUCCUGUUUGGUCUAAGAAGGCUAAUAUUGUUUUAUUUUUUGAAAUAAGCUACUUCCUUU